GAGCGAACUCUCUGGGAGCUUGCUCCCAAAAGUUAGCGGCGGACGGGUGAGUAACACGUGGGCAACCUGCCUAUAAGACUGGGAUAACUUCGGGAAACCGGAGCUAAUACCGGAUAAUUCUUUUCCUCUCAUGAGGAAAAGCUGAAAGACGGUUUACGCUGUCACUUAUAUAUGGGCCCGCGGCGCAUUAGCUAGUUGGUGAGGUAACGGCUCACCAAGGCAACGAUGCGUAGCCGACCUGAGAGGGUGAUCGGCCACACUGGGACUGAGACACGGCCCAUACUCCUACGGGAGGCAGCAGUAGGGAAUCUUCCGCAAUGGACGAAAGUCUGACGGAGCAACGCCGCGUGAGUGAUGAAGGUUUUCGGAUCGUAAAACUCUGUUGUUAGGGAAGAACAAGUACGAGAGUAACUGCUCGUACCUUGACGGUACCUAACCAGAAAGCCACGGCUAACUACGUGCCAGCAGCCGCGGUAAU
rnacentral:rRNA from 1 species